UACGUAGGGCGCAAGCGUUAUCCGGAAUUAUUGGGCGUAAAGAGCUCGUAGGCGGUUGUCGCGUCUGCCGUGAAAGUCCGGGGCUCAACUCCGGAUCUGCGGUGGGUACGGACAGACUAGAGUGAUGUAGGGGAGACUGGAAUUCCUGGUGUAGCGGUGAAAUGCGCAGAUAUCAGGAGGAACACCGAUGGCGAAGGCAGGUCUCUGGGCGAUUAACUG
rnacentral:rRNA from 1 species